AUUGAACGCUGGCGGCAUGCCUUACACAUGCAAGUCGAACGGUAACAGGUCUUCGGAUGCUGACGAGUGGCGAACGGGUGAGUAAUACAUCGGAACGUGCCUAGUAGUGGGGGAUAACUACUCGAAAGAGUGGCUAAUGCCGCAUAAGAUCUACGGAUGAAAGCAGGGGAUCGCAAGACCUUGCGCUACUAGAGCGGCCGAUGGCAGAUUAGGUAGUUGGUGGGAUAAAAGCUUACCAAGCCGACGAUCUGUAGCUGGUCUGAGAGGACGAUCAGCCACACUGGGACUGAGACACGGCCCAGACUCCUACGGGAGGCAGCAGUGGGGAAUUUUGGACAAUGGGCGAAAGCCUGAUCCAGCAAUGCCGCGUGCAGGAUGAAGGCCUUCGGGUUGUAAACUGCUUUUGUACGGAACGAAAAGCCCCGGGUUAAUACCCUGGGGUCAUGACGGUACCGUAAGAAUAAGCACCGGCUAACUACGUGCCAGCCGCCGCAGUAA
rnacentral:rRNA from 1 species